GGGGAAGCCUGAGUUUCUUCUCGUGAAAGAAGGAAAAAUGUAUAGGAAAUAGGCCUGUCAACGAACAGAGACUGGAUUUGUACGGUUUUAAGCUAUAUCAAGGAAAUAACUUACUUAUUUCAACCAAGACACAUCAGGAAAUAGUCGUUCCUCGGACGUUCUCUGCCAGAAUUAGAUUGAGAGAAGAGGACGACGAAAACGCUUACAGAAACACCCACCACCAAAGGACCAAGCAGCGUGGUGACGAGAGGCAGCGAUACCUGGAGAACUGGACUUGGG
ensembl:lncRNA